rnacentral:rRNA from 1 species
CCUACGGGAGGCAGCAGUGGGGAAUUUUGGACAAUGGGGGAAACCCUGAUCCAGCCAUGCCGCGUGAGUGAAGAAGGCCUUCGGGUUGUAAAGCUCUUUCGGCUGGGAAGAAAUCGCACAGGCUAAUACUCUGUGUGGAUGACGGUACCAGCACAAGAAGCACCGGCUAACUACGUGCCAGCAGCCGCGGUAAUACGUAGGGUGCGAGCGUUAAUCGGAAUUACUGGGCGUAAAGCGUGCGCAGGCGGUUGUGCAAGACAGAUGUGAAAUCCCCGGGCUCAACCUGGGAACUGCAUUUGUGACUGCACGACUAGAGUACGGCAGAGGGGGGUAGAAUUCCACGUAUAGCAGUGAAAUGCGUAGAGAUGUGGAGGAAUACCGAUGGCGAAGGCAGCCCCCUGGGUCGAUACUGACGCUCAUGCACGAAAGCGUGGGGAGCAAACAGGAUUAGAUACCCUGGUAGUCCACGCCCUAAACGAUGUCAACUAGUUGUUGGUAGGGUUAAACCUAUUAGUAACGUAGCUAACGCGUGAAGUUGACCGCCUGGGGAGUACGGUCGCAAGAUUAAAACUCAAAGGAAUUGACGG